CUGGAGGAAAUGAGAGGUGAGUGUUUGCCUCAUACAAGGCUUCCAAGGGAGAUCAGAGCCUGGCUCACAAGGUUAUCUGUGAGCAGGGAUGUAGGCUGGAAAAAAGCCAUUAGCUCAAUUAGGUUUAAUAAAGGCAUAAUUGCCUUAAUUGUAGCCAGCCCCAUGCCUGCAGGGUCUGUGCAUGGGGCAGGUGGAGGAGCCGAGGGCUCGAGGGCUGCGCUCCUGGCUCCUGCCUGCCCUCAGGACCCUUUCCUGGGAGAAGCAGCACUAAAAGCUGGCCAGCAAAGUGCCCCUGUUCUGAGCUGGCUCCCCACAAGUGGAACAGGAGCCAUCUCCUUCCUGCUGUUUCCCCAAGGACACACCAGACUGCCUAAAUCCUACAUGUUCCUCCUCUAGCCUAGCUCCUGCGCCUGGCUCCCCUGCUGCUGUGGCACUACGGCCCCCCCAGGAGCUCACAGCACCCGUGGACCCAGGAAGGGCUCUGAAUCCUAAAUCGGCGAGCCAAGAGCAUCUCCAGUGGUGCAUGGAGAGCAGAAUUUAUUUGUGUUCUCAUUCCAGAAGCCUCUGCCUGCAGUAGCGGGAUCGAGUUUAUUUGAAGCUACAGCUUACGCAACGGAGCAAAAAUAGAAGAAAUUGCUGAUGCUAAAGCAGAGGCAGCGGUUCGGCAUGGAUUUGCGUUUCCCAUUGAUGGCUUCAGAAGAGGAGUGUCACUGGAGUUCAGCAGCUUCAUGGGGUCAUUAACUGCUCUGGAGCAAUAUGUUUAUUGCUGCUUCGAUUACGGCAGCUCUUAAGUGGUGCGGCUGAACCGCGGCUGCGUGCGGCUCAGCACAGCUUGUGCAGGCAGCAUAAGGAAGUUUUCAAUCUGAGGGGACGAGGAGAAGGAAAAAUGAUGAGCUCUGCUUGGGCACAGGGGGAAAAGAAACACCGAUAGGAAUUAACGAGUGGAUUUUUCCGCAGCACUCAGUGGUGUCUGGAAGGGGGCUCGCAUCUCGCACCUCCACGCAAGCAGUUCUGUCACAGCUGCCAGAUAGACACCAAACAGCUGAAUCAUUCAUGAGCCCAUCAGCAGAGCACGAGGCAUUAGGCAAAGGAAACAGCAGGUCAGCCUUGAAUUGAACGCUAUUAAAAACUUUCAUUAAAGUUCUGGAAGAGAGCGGUGGGAGAGGUGAGAGGGGGGAAAAGGAAAUAAAUUAUAAUAUUGAUCACGUUUGUGGAUCGGGACGGAGCAGGAGCGAUGGAAAACACAAGGAAGGACAAAACAGGAAUUAGCCUGGGAUAUCGCAGAAAGCUGGGCGUUUAAAUGGAACAAGAUUUAAUUUAGAUAAAUAUCAAAUAAUGCCUGUCAGUGCUCAGUAAGCGUGCCGCUAACAGAGGAGUGACGUGUGGGAGAAGGAAGAGCUGAGAGCAGAGGCUGCAGACGCUCGGGGUUUGCUCCAUGUGCCCUUGGAGCAACACCUCUGCGGGGCUGGGGAGCGCAGGGCCCCCUCUCCAGCCCUUCAGAUGUCACUUUGUCACCACGUCAGCUGCUAUUUCAGAGGGACAGAGCUGGCAACCUCCCAGAGCGCUGCCAGCCAUUGCAGUCCCCGUCACAAGAGCUUAGCCCGGUGGCCUCAUAUUUUGGGUCAUCAUUUCCUUAUGCAUGGAGUGCUGCGUCCCCGAACGGGCAGCAAGAAAUCAAAGUGUAUAAAGCGACGUGAGGGAAACAACCAGGCAAUAAAGGCUGCGCGGGAAGGUUACAGGAGGAUUAACCAGGCAGCUCUCUGAGGAGAGAGGAGGUUUUAUCGCAGCUGAGAUAUGUGCCGGGAGGACAGCAGGGGACAGCAGCAUGGAUGCAACCACCUCCUGUCAUCAGCGAGGUGCAAUUAGGCAGGGGCAAGCUAAUUUGUUUGCAGAGGAAGCAGCUGAACAGUCACGGGGCACCUCCAGGUUAACGAGGCUGCCUUGGUCCCGAGCUAAUCCCGGGCUGGGGAGCUCGCAAAGCCUCUGAGGGAGACGUGGAGGCACCAAGGGACGUCUCUCUGCUGGGAAGGGAGAGGGCCCUGGCUCUGGAAGGACCCAGCACGUUUGCACUGUGCUGGGCUCCUGGGCUCAUCCCUAAAGGUGCCACAGCAUUUCUGAGCCAAGAAAUAGAAACCUGUGUCCCUGUGAGUGGUGUGAGGAUGGGGGCACUCAGCCUGCAGCUGCCCAGGUGAAAAAGACAAGAAAAAAGCCUGGAAAUGCCUGAUGCUCAGCAGCUCCUUUCCUGCGGGGGGGAGCUGUAAGCCAGAGAGCUGCUGCUCCCCAUGGCCUCCGCGCAAGCAGCACCCUUUGGGUUGAGGCAGGCAGCCGGGAAAGCAAGCUGUCUGCAGCAAGGACUCCAAAUACCCAGCACACUUCCCGAGCUGCUGUGCCUGAGCGAUUCACUCAGCGGAUUUGUUGGGCACUGGUGUCCCUGUUGUCUGUGUGAUUACAGCUCAUAAGAGAGCAUCGCCCUCCCCGCGAGGAGUUUAACUUUUCCAGAGGCACCACAUAAAUCCCCUCCCUGUUUCUGCCUCCUCUCCAGCCUCUGCCCUGGCUUUUUCGGCACACCCAUGCCUCAGUUCAGCAUCACAUCGCUGGAGGCAUCUCUUGUCACUGCCAUGACAGCAGCAGAGCUCCCAGGGGUGCGGAGCAGCCGGCGUCUUCUCCCAGGGGUGCAGGCACCGCCACCACGGCAGCACAGAGCAGCCCCACGCGGGACGGGGGACGUGCUGCCAUGAUUUAAAAAUGGGAUGGGAGCUUACAGCCUCCUGCGGCCCCCAGGCAAAAGGGGGGCGUUGGGAGCGCUGGGUUUUGGGGAGCAGGUGCUGGGGGUCAGAGCUCAGCAGUGGGCUCACUCAGGGCUGCAAGGUCCUUC